GUAAAAUAAAUAAAUUUUUUUAAAUAAAAAUAAGAAAAGAUAGAAUUCCACAUCAAAGUCCAGCUUGAGGUUACAUACAGAAGAUUGAGUGAAGGGUUACUUACAGAUGAAUGGAGGACCCAAAGAAGGCUGCAUCUGGGAAAAGCCCACCCUAUCCUGACUUAGAAAAUGUGCAUCCCUGGAGCUCUCUGCAAAAUUUGCAUUCAGCACCAGCCUAAGAGGCCAGGAAGCUUCUUCUCCCAGCACUUGUUUACAGCUUCCAUAAUCCAGGCAGGGUUCCUUGUGAGUCUUGGAAGUUUCUUUGUUCCAGAACUUGAAAGGUUUCUUGAGCUUCAUGAGCACAGCUCCUCCCUCAAGGAAGGAGUGUUUCAAUUCAACUACCCACCUACAAUGUUGGACCUGAAUUUAUUUAUUUUUUCUUUCAAGUACAAGGAGUCCAACCCAGGGUAUCUCUAAGGGAUGAUACCCAGGUAGAACCAAUCGGGGAGAAGGGAGGAAGUCAAGAACUGUGAGGGCCCCAGGAUCCUAUAAAACAUCCAGCAUCAAGUCCACUCAGUGGACUCCAAGCUCUGGAUCUCCUCCCAUCCAAAUGGGAGCUCUUCUCUUGCCUUAACAAAGCUUGUUAUUUUUAUUUUCUCUAAAUUUGUGGCUUUUGCCUCCUCCCCAUCUGUCACUUUCGCUUUCUCUGCCUCUAAGGCUCCCACCCUCUCCAUGUCUGUGACUUAUGCUUUCUCCUCAUCAGUCAUCAUUCCUGGACAUAUAAUUCUUUGUUAAGUCCAUGGAACAAACUCUACAGUACCCUAGAUGAUCACCCCUCACCCAUAGACCUCCCACCUUAGUUACAGGGGUCUGUCUGGAUUUGAAGAUUUCAACUCAAGGUCAAUAUAACUGACUGAAAAUUGCAGUGGAAACCCUGGGAGUGACCAUGAUCAUCCAGGACCCAAGUAGUCUCAUGGAGUGAGUGCCCCCAUCCAUAAUUAGCAUGGCCAAAUCCUCCAGUUAGCUACUUUUUACUUUCUUUGGGGAUAUUAAAGGCAUAAGUGACUACACUCUAUAGGGAAUGGAGUAGUCAGAUCUCAUACAGCCAAACAGAUUUUAAUCUUAUAAUUGGUGGGGUGUGGGUCUGUGGUUUAUACUACCACUCAUGAGCUAAGAGACACCACUUCUGACCACUAAGGAGUCAGUCACUCCUACCAGCUGGGAAAGCUUUUAUACUAGUACAAAAUGUCUGGGCAACCUAUUUGCCACUGUGGUACUUGGGCAACUUUCUUUAUGAAAACAUGGGCAAGAUCCAUGAAAAAUUUAUACCCUUUGGGUGGACUACUGGCAGGUUGCAUUUUUCAGGUACAAAGAAAGGACCAAUCACUUUAUUAUUUAUCUCAAAAGGUGAUCUUAUAAGAAAUCUUAAAAGAAUCACAAAUCUAAACUUUUAUAUGUGAAAAACAGUCAAUUGGCUCUACUUUAAGUCCUCAGGGUACAUACCCACUCAUCAGUUUUUUUUAUAUCAGGAAUCUGAGAGAAGUAAUGGGUACAAAGAAUUAAUCACCACCCUUGAUCACCAGCCUAUCCUAGCAAGAAAGGUAUGUCAGCCAGCAAUAGCCAGGCUACCAUGUUUUGUUCCCUGACCUCAGAGUCCCUCACUCAGAUGUUAAAAGUGUGGCUUUCUAAAUUUUAAAUUGUUUCCUAAGAUUUUCUACAUCAAAGCAAUUCAUAAAAACACCUUAACCUAACUUUACUAACAAUUCUACAUGUCUAAAUUUUUCUAAGGGUGGUGGUUGAAUCAUUAAUCUGCUCCAGCAGCAAUGCUUGGAAAAAGUCAAUCACUAUUAUUGUUAAGUACUAGUAACACUGCCCAGUGAGGGGCUAGCAACCCCCUGAUAGUUUUCAUCCAAUCAUAGAUUAUGAGGGAUAUAGUGACUGCAAAAGCAACCAUCAGAGCUCUGCUCAAUAACAGCAUGAGGUCCUCAGGACACCUAGUCCUCAGAGCUUUGCCUCUCCAAGGCUCACUCAGGAGUGGCUUUGCCAACUGCCCAUGUUCCAUGGGUUCCAAUGCUCCCUGUUGGUCCCCUAGCAUGGCCACUGACAAUACAUGUGUAAGAAGUUUUCCCAAUGUACAUAGCCUUCUUUAAAUGAAAAUCAGUCACCAUAAGUGCUUGUACCACUUGCUUCCUAAUUGGGCAAAAAUGUAACAUGAAUUUAUGGAUUAAGAGAGUGGGCAUACAAUUAUGGAUACCCUAAGGGAGAGAGAUUUCUGCCCUAUUUCCCCUGGAGCAACAUGUCCCUUCCCUGUCCCCCUUGGACUGCUCUUAUGCCAAGCCAAGAGUCAGGUACUCUCUCAUUAGUUAUCACUAGUUCAGGCUAUUAUUCGAGAUGCUCUGGUUCCCUACUCAGCUCCGUAUGAAAUGAGGGGUCACUUUCAUUUGCAUCAUCUGAAAUAAAAGGCUCUCAAGCCAUCAUAAGCUUCCAGGAAAAGAAAAAUAUCCUGUCUCCAAGACUUCAGGGGUUUAUCAAAUUUGAUCUGCCCAUUCUCAAAUAAGAUUGGAGGAGAAUGAGUGUACUUUCUGGAAUGGAGGCAUCAGAAAUUAUCUGGGAGGUGAAUGAAAUUGUCAGGGACCAGGCCCAUAGGUAUGGGUAAGUGCAAACUAGUCUCACAUGGGGAACCAAUUCCAGGGGUGUUCUCUUAGGACACACUGACCUUCCCCUCCAAUGGCUAGGAGCUGCUUCUCCAGAUGCUGAGAUGAGAGAGUCAUGGAGAAUUAAGCAACCUUCCAUCAGUCUCUUCCAGUCUUGCUUUACUUCACAGAUGGGGAUGGAAGCCUCCAAGAUCCUUUGAGUUCCCUGUUGGCUUGCCUUCUGGACAACUGGAACAAGCUAAACUCCAAAAGUGCAUAAUAAUGCUUUGAUUUUUCCUCAAUUCAUGCAUAGCCCGAGAAAUCAGAAGGCAAAUCUUUUGUUUCGAGGGAUGGCAUUACCAAAGAUCCUUGGGCUAUAAGAGGAGCUGUCAUGGACCAGCCAGGUACCAGACUGCUGAAACCAGGAGCCUCACAAGUGAAACAAGUCAAAAGAAAUCAGGAAGGGGCUGGAGAUACUCCACAGGUAAAGGAGAUAAUCCCACUACUCAAUCCAGACUCUCUGGUGGAGACUACUAUACACUAUCUGUUCUCUAUCAUAGGAAAAACAAAGAGGAGGAAAUCAGGACAUGGUGAGAGACAAGCCAUCUGACUGCACUUUCCCCAGGACAGACUAGACACACUAGGUGUUCCUUGUUAUAGGCUGCAGCCACCCUUCCAAAUGGACUAGGAAGUGUGGGUUCGAUAAGGCAAAUCCUACCCAACUUCUCUGUAUUUACUCCUCCAUCUCAUUACAAGAGUGAUCAAACCAGUCUCCAAAUUCUUCUGAAGUUCCUAUUCAGCUGCCUUUUCAGACACUGAGAAAAAUUAGCCCCUCAGACGUCCAAUCAAUCACUUUCCCUGGAGAAAAAUAAACCUCCUGUAUAACUUGAUCUCUUGUAUGAGGGCGAGUACUUAUCAAGGUUUUUGUUUUCGUAUUACCUGCCUCCAUCUGUAGGGACAGGCAAACUGUGAGUAUAAAGCUUUCAAGCAGUUGGUCACUCCAAGUCUAGCCAUGGAAGGUAUCAAAUUAGACACUAGUAAAGACAGAUGCUUCAAUCAGCUUGAACCUGUUUGAUGUUUGAUCCUGGGUGCUCACUGUCACCCUGGUAUUAUAAAGUUAAAAGAAAUCAGAGGGUGGCCUUUCUAAAACAAAGUGUUCUAACUCUUUUUUUCUAAAGGGGAAGAAAACGCUUUCUACCUUUUGUCAGUCCCUGUCGGACCCAGUGGAUAAGAAUAAUUUGGGCAACUCUGUGAAGAUUGAAAGAGGACAGGUGCUUUGGGUCCAGCCAUUUGACUUCAGACUCAACAGCAAGCUUGAUAUCCAGUGUCGACAGCUUGGUUCAGUUUUAUAGAGGAAAAAAAUGCCUUUAAGGUCUAGAGAGUAUUGGAAAAUGGCCGUGUGCUGUUUAAGCUCACUGGGAUGCUGGCUCUGGAGAUGGGAUUUGACCCUUACACUUCAGACCCCAAACUACUUCCUCGUGUCCUGAGCCAUGCUACUUAGACUCAUUGAGAGCCUAAAGCGUGGCUAUCAUAGAUCAUUUUCUGGAUUGUAUAAACUGCAAAACAAAGGACAGAAAGUAACAUCCCUCAUAACCUUUCCUAAGGUUUAGGAAAGUUUGGGGCUCUCUUUUAGGGGGUUCCACCGGGAACCUUUACUAGAUUUCAGGGCAAGAAAAUGACUUACCUAGUUGUGAGACUGUGCAUUCCUCCCUACCCAAGUUAAGACAAGAGUGAGGAAUGUCCUUUAUCAUCUAAAACUAUAAUUAGGCUUAAAUGUUAGUAUUUUUUGGCUCUGUGCAUACUUAAUUUUUUGCCUUUAAUUUGCAGGGAGUGUUCCCUCACACCAAGAUCAUUUUGAUAAUGUCCCCAGGCUCUGAAUGAAAUGUGAAUUUUUGAGAUGGAGAGGUAAUUCUCAGGUUUUGGGGAGGCCACAGAAAGAAUAAGAUGUUGAAGUCCAAGCAGAAAGAUUUGCUUAAAACUUGUCGGGAAAAAAACCUUGGUAGCUAAAAAUAUGUAUAGGUAAUCAAAAUGUGUUACAUUGUCCAACAUACACAGUUUAGAUCCAACUUUAUUUUACCUAGGAGGUGUUACAUGGCACUAUCUUUUGAGCUAAGUAGCUUUUAUCUUCAUUAGUUCAGCUUUCUUGCUUUCAAAAGAUCAUCACAACUGGGCUGUGGGCUGUUGCUAUUCUUUUACAGAAAUGAAGAGUGUACAGGGUUAUUACCUACGUAUUCAGUCACUCCUCUUAUCUGGUUAUAUUCAAUUCCUCCCUAACCGUAUAAGGCCUCUGGCAUUGGGUAGAUGUCAAAAUACAUAGUCUACAGAAGACAGUAAGACUAGAGUGCUGGCUCGUUUUAUGUCAACUUGCCACAAGCUAUAGUCAUUUGGGAACAAAGAACCUCAGUUGAGAAAAUGCUCCAAUUAGAUAGGCCACUAGGGAAGCAGAUGGAACAUUUUCUUGAUUGAUGGUUAAUGUGGGCAGGUAUAGCUCACUGUGGUGGUAGUCCUUGAUGCUAUAAGAAAGCAGGGUAAGAAAUCCGUAAGGAGAAAUUCAGUAAGCAGCAUUUCUCCAUGGCUUCUGCUUCAGUUUCUGCCUCCAGGUUCCUUCCCUGCUUGAGUUCCUGCCCUGACUUCUGUGGAUGAUGGACUACAAACUAUAAGGUGAAAUAAACCCUUUCCUUCCCAAGCUUCUUUUGGUCGUGGUAUUUUAUCGAAGCAUUAAAAUCCCAAAUAAAACAGAAAAUUAGUAACAGGAAUGGGAUAUUAGUAUGACAGAACUGACCGUGUGUUUUUGGGAGGAGUGUUGUAGCAGUUGAACUGUGGGCUGGAAAAAAUCGUGGAGUGCUCAGAAAGCAGGGGGAUCUUGGAAGACAAGUAUGUUGACAGCAGUGCAGAGAUGAGGACCUGUUUUGUGAAGUUUGGAGGGAAGGAAAGACUCUACAGGGGCCGUUUAUAUGAUAUCUUAUGUUAAGAAUCUAUAGUUCCUUGUCGGCUGGAUCUGGAGUUACCUGUGAUCAACAAGAGACCAGCACCACUGAAAUAAAAGCUUCACUUUACUGGGGAACAAUUGUUACUGGUUACUGGAACUGAGAAACUAGCAUGGUUAAAAGGACACCAACCUCACAGAGGUGAAAUAUUCUGGAAAGCAUUUUCUCAGGGUCAGCACAUUGAACCUGUGGUCCAGAUGGUGGCCAAGUUGUACCUCAUGCUGGCAGCCAAACUUGAUAAUAUGUAAGGAUCUCCUAGAUACUACUGCUUUUGAAGAUAUGAAAGGCUUAGGGAAAGCCGCCAAAGCUUUGCACUGUGAAAGGCCAGGAGAGGUCAUUGGUGGAGGUACAGCCUUUGUUGAUGUAGAAGCUCCGGGACUCUUCAGUUACAGAGAUUGGCACCAUGUCCCACUGACAGAGUCCCCAAAGAGAACCCAAGAGAGGCUAUUUUCGAAGGCACAGCCCAGUUCCAGUGGAGACCCUACAAUGUGGAGAUUACAGUACCGUGGGGUGACUGCCAAGGACAGCCGCAGCUGUGGAGUGGAGCCAGCCCUAGCCUAUGAGACAAGUUAGUGUGUGCUGUAAAGGGCAGAGCUGGAGACAGGAAACCUCUCGCAGCCCAUAGGAUCGUGACUCUGACGCUGGUUUUUACACUGUUGAAGAUUGGUUUGCUUUUUAUUUGAUUGUGACUAUGCCAUUGUUCUUCCCUCUUAGAGUAAGAAAUUACUUAAUAUGAUUUGAUUUUUGCAGGAACCCACAGUUAGGAGACUUUGGAAUUUAAGAGAGAAUGGAAUUUUUAGAGAAACUGGGUAUUUUAUAGAGACUUUGAAAGGACAGGAUAUUUUAAAGACAUUGAACUUUUAAAGACCGUGGGACAUUUCAAAGUUGGAAAGUUUGAGUGUAAUUUUAAUAUUAACAUGUUGUCUUGGGGACAAAUGAGGAUGGAAAAGUAAUAGUAGAAUAAUUGGUGUGUUUGUGUGUCAAGUUGACGAGGGAUCAGUUGUGCAGACUAGUUUUAUGUCAGCUUGACAUAGUUAGAAUCAUCUGGAAAGAGAGAACCUCAGCAGAGAAAAUGCUUCCAGCACCUUGGCCUGCAGGCCGUCCUGUGGAUCAUUUUCUCAAUUGUGUUUCGUGGCUCUUUUUGGAAUAAGCACUCUUAGCACCAAUGAGAGUGGAAGAAAGGUGUUACCAGUGGACUGAAGCAAUAAUUGUUCCUUAAAGUCCUAGGUAUUGGAUCCAAUUUGAGUUCUCAUUUUAUAAUCUGAUACUACAAGAGGAGGCAGACAAGCAAGAUUUCACAGAAGAGUACAUGGCAGUCAGCAGGCUGUUAAGGGCAAUGAUCCAUUGUUUCAUCUAUUUCUCCAGGUCAUUUUUUUCCAGGUAACAAGGUAAGUCAUGCUUGGCAAAUAGGCAGUACAAGCAGUGCCUUAAGUAAAUCACUAAAUGAAUCAAUAAAUCAGUAUCCAAUAUGUUUUUCUAUCUUACCCUACUUUAAUUGAUGAUUGGUAUGGUAGGGUCCUGGUGUGGCUAACUGUGGGUUGUGCUCCAAGAGGGCUGGUGGUGCUGGGUGCUGUAAAAAAGCAGGCUGAGAAAGUCUUUGAGGAGAAAGCCAGCAAGCAGAAGCUCUCCAUGGCUUCUGCAUCCGUUCCUGCCUCCAAGUUUCUGCCCUGACUUCCCUGGAUGAUGGACUACCUAUGAUGGAUGAUGAAAGAAACCCUUUCUCCCCAAAUUGCCUUUGGUCAGGGUGUCUUUACCACAGGAAUAGAAACGUAACUGAGACAGCUAGGGAGAGGGGGCUCCACCUAGGUUUCUGUGAGAAAGCCAUUGUCCAGGCUGAGUGAAAACUUUCCUGUUAGCUGUUUUAAGGUCUCCCAUGCUUCUGUCAGGAACCCCUCACCCAUAUCGAUAAGUAAGCUCAUUAAGUCCUCAAGAUGAACUCUGAUAAAACUGAACUUGGGCUUGUCAUUUGCAGCCUUGUGAGGAAGGGAUAAACAAGGGUAGUCCCCCACUAGGCAGAAAAUUCUCACAACAGAUGGUAAAUUUAUUUGUUAGUAUUCUUCAAGUCUCGUGGUAUUAGGAAUUUCCUACUGGUUAGUAGGUAAAAGAAAGCCUUAAAAGAAGGCAAAGGUGGAAAUAUUUUUUUCCUAAGAAGAAUUUGUGUGUGAGGAUUAAGAUGGCUGGACACUUUCAUAAUGGAAGGGAAAACUAGACAACUCAGGCAGGGUAUUAAAAUGUGAGCAAGUAUGUAAAAGUCAUGUAAAAGAUGCGACUUGGAGAUGGUGUAUGUGAUACUCAGGUUUGUAUGGUCAAAGUUCAAUAGACUGGAGCUCAGUGGUUAAGAGCACUAACUGCUCUUUCAGAGGACCAGUGUCUAGUCAGGGUUUCUACUGCUGUGAUGAGAUACCAUGACCAUGGCAACUCUUUUUUUUUUUAACUUUCUUUUUUUAAUUUAUUCUUUGUGUCUUUCACAUCAUGCAUCCCAAUCCCACCCAUCUCCUGUCCCCUGGCACCCACCCUCUGCCCUCUGCCCCUGCAAUCUGCCCCCAUGCCCCCUGCUGCCAAAUAAAACAAAAUGAAAUUUAAGAUAAAAAAGGAAAAAAAAAGGAAGAAAGGGGAAAAUCUCACCAUGGAAGCUGCAGUGUGACACAGUGAGUCAUGCAGUAAACCCCCUUUAUUCAAACAUCUUUACACGCAGGUCUUCAUCGCAUAGAACCAUUGGUUUGGUUCAAGGCCUCUGGUCUCUGCUACACUAUCGACACUGGGCCCUCACUGGGACUCUUCCUGGACAUCCCGUUGUUCUGGGCCUGGGUAGUUGUAGGGUUGGUCAGCCUGCCAGCUCUCCCCUGUCUUCACUACCAGGGUGAGUCCUCCAGCACUUCCCUGGCUAGUUCACCCCUUUCAUUGAUGAACAAGGGGUGGGGUCAGUUCUCCUGCUUUCAAGUCCUCGGGAUUGGUUCUCGCAUACCUACACCUUGGGGCCAGCUCUGCUGUGUUGGCCAGUAGAGAUGCAGAGGCCACUCUCCUGAGUGCUGCAACUGGUGAGGGGCAGGGACAGCUCUCCAGCUUUUAUGACCUCUAGGGCCAGCUCUCCCUAGAGAGCUAAGGUGUGUGUGUAUAUGUGGAGGGGGGGGAGAUCUGUCCCCUGCCCAUUCUUCCACAUGACAGAUGAGUAUGGGGACAGCUUUCCCAUCUACCUCAAUUGUUGUUGAUGCAUGGCAACUCUUAUAAGGAAAACAUUAAGCUGGGGCUGGCUCACCGGUUUAGCGGUUUAGUCCAUUAAUGUCAUGGCAGGUAACAUGGCAGCAUAUAGACAGACAUGGUGCUAGAGAAGGAGCCAAGAGUUCUUCAUCUGGAUUGGCAAGCAGCAGGAAGAGAGAGAGAGAGAGAGAGAGAGAGAGAGAGAGAGAGAGAGAGAGAGAGAGAGAGAGAGAGAGGAGAGAGGACUGGGCCUGGCUUGGGCUUCUGAAACCUCAAAGCCCACCCCCAGUGACAUACUUCCUCCAACAAGGCCACACCUACCCCAACAAGACCACACCUACUAAUAAUACCACUGCCUGUUGAGUAAUCAUUCAAAUCUAUGAGCUUAUGGAGGUCACUCCUACUCAAACAACCACACCCUGAAUUCCAUUCCCAGCAGCCACAGGGUAAGUCCAGUUCCAAGAAGAUCCUGUACCUUCUUCUGAUCUCCACAGGCACAUGGUACACAGACAUGCAUGUAAAUGGUGCACAGCCAUAUAUGCAGCCAAAACACCCACACAUGUUGUGGUGGCUUGAGUGAAAAUGGCUCUCAUUGACUCAUAAGGAGUGGCAUUGUUUGAAAGGAAUAGGACUUGUGGCCUUGUUGGAGGAUGUGUGUCACUGGGGAUGGGCUUUGAAAUUUCAGAAGUUCAAGCCAGGCCCAGUGGCUUACUCUCUUUUCCUGCUGCCCAGUAAUCCAUGUGUUAAACUUGGCUCCUUCUUCAGCACCAUGUUUGCCAGAAUACCACCAUGCUUCUAGCCAUGACAGUAAUGGACUAAACCUCUGAACUGUAAGCCAGGCCCAGUUAAAUGUUUUCCUUUAUAAGAGUUGCAGUGGCCAUGGUGCCUCUUCACAGCAAUAGAAACCAUAACUAAGACAGAUGUAAAAAAAAUAUAUAUCUCAAAAGAUUUUUUAAAAAGUUCAAUAAAGUGAUGUCCAGCUUAAACCAAUGAAGUUACUGGCCUUCCCUUCCUAACCAUUAUGAGAACUGGCCUGUACAUACAAGAACAAACCAGUACGUCUAAUCAAAGUUUAUUUAAAAGUGUUUGGGUUUUGGUCCAAGCUUCAUCUAAGUAUUACACUGUAGUUAAAAGUACCAGGUAGAACUCUGUGAAAUGAGGCCAGCCUGGUCUACAUAACAAGCAACAAGUUCCAGGCCAGCCAAGAAUACACAGUAAAACCUUGUCAAAAUAAAAUGAAAAAAGGAAGGAAGGAAGGGGGAAGGAAGGGAGAAAAAGGUAAUAGAUGGGUAUAACAUCAUCUUGGUGUUGAAUAAGCAUAUUUGGAGGUUAGACCAAUGUGGACAAAGGAAUUAAAAGGGACAGAAUUUUGCCUUCUGCACUCCAAGGUCAACUGUGUCCCAGGAGACCAUAGGGGAAUCACUUAAGAUGUCAUAGUGGUCAUCCCAUUCACAAAGGUAUCUGGUGCCAAUCUCUAAGAGGAAGGACUGAGGGAACAAGCACUCUCAUACAUAUGCUGUGUACCCAAGGUGACAAUGGAGAAUCCCAGUUGAGUACUUAAUGGCUGGGUUCCUGACCUUAGCAGCCCACAGCAUCCAAGCCUGUGUAUGGUGGCUCUGGCAAAGCCUCAGAGAUCAAAGCUGGGGCCAAUGGGGGUAGGGAUAGAAGAGGCCUGAGACCACAUCCCCAUCCCACCCCCAUUGACUGCAAGUCACUUAGUGGUACCCCUAGAUGACCACCCUGUACCCAAGACCACUCACAACAGUCUCAGAUCUCUAGACACCACUUAUUCCCUCUACUGAAGCCACAGAUGCUCUGGGAGGUCAGUGGUUCCUCGUAGUGUUCUGAGACCUCAGGAAUUCCAGGUUGUCAAGUGUUACAGUUGAUGUUGUGGAAUCCAGGCUUUGUGUAUCUACUGGGAGUCAGGAGCCUUAAGAAUGACACUGAAGCUUUCUCAGUCUUCCCAGAAUCUAUGAAAGCUAUUUGACUACACAUAAAAGUCUAUGUCAAUUGUCAUUUAUCAGAAUUACAUAAUUCAUCACUAUUCAUAAGGCUCACGACCCAUAUUCCCAGGCAACGAAGUUUUCUAUGGAUCUCCUGCUCCUGUUUUUCUAGAUUUCUCAGCCAGUGGUACUUUUCCCUGCUUUGCAGCCUGCCGGCACAUUUGUAAGUUUAUAUUUAUCUUAUGUUGUUUUUUGUUUGUUUGUUUGUUUUUCGAGACAGGGUUUCUCUGUGUAGUUUUGGUGCCUGUCCUGGAUCUCGCACUGUAGACCAGGUUGGCCUCGAACUCACAGAGAUCCACCUGGCUCUGCCUCCCGAGUGCUGGGAUUAAAGGCAUGCACCACCACCACCUGGCUUAUGUUGUUUUUCUAUGUGUUUAAACUACAAGACUUUGAAAACUACAAGACUUUGAAAUUAAUCCUUCAAUAGUGCCUUGGCUUGAAUUUGAGAUUUGUGUUAGUGGGCCAUCUGUUACAAUUAUAACAAUAGGUAAAAUAAUUAGCUUGGAAGCUGGGCAGUGGUGGCGCGCGCCUUUAAUGCCAGCACUCGGGAGGCAGAGCCAGGAGGAUCUCUGUGAGUUCGAGGCCAGCCUGGUCUACAGAGCGAGUUCCAGGAAGGCACAAAGCUACAUAGAGAGACCCUGUCUCGAAAAACCAAAAAAUAAUAAUAAUAAUUAGCUUGGAGUAUGCUUAUUUUAGCUCCAUUUUAGAGGUCUCUGUCCAGGCUACCUGGGUCCCUUGCCUUGGGCUCAUAACAGCACAUCACGACAGGAGGCACGUCUACAUUUGUACCUUUCCCACACUUUGAUAAUUGGUUUGUUAGUUUUGCUUAUUUGUUUUUUCACUGUGUAGCCUUGACUGGCCUGGAACUCAAAAUAUAGACCAGGCUGGCCUCAAAUUCACAGAGAUCUGCAUGCUUUUGCCUCCUGAGUGCUGGGAUUAAAGAUAUGUACCAUCACACCUGACUGUUUGCAGUUUUGUUAACAUACCCUUAAUUGUGUUUACAUCUUUUUAAAAGCUGCCCUUAUUGUUGAUGGGAAUAUGAAAUGUUGUUAUUACUCUGGGAGUAGUCUGAGGUUACUUACAGAGGCAAGCAAAUGGUAGCUGGGGCAUCACUUACUAGUAAAGUGCUUGCCCAGCAUGCACUAUGCCCUGGCUUUGAUCUCUAGCAUCACAAGGAAACCCAUGUAAUUACCAGCAAUUGCACCAUAGGCAUUUUUUUUUAAAUUAGAGUUUCUGUUACUGUGAUAAAACACUAUGACCAAAAGCAACUUGAAGAGCAAAGGGUUUAUUUCCUCUUACCGCUCUUGGGUCACACUCCAUCACGUAAGGAAGUCAGUGCAGGAGCUCAAGCAAAAGCUGUGGAGGAGCGCUGCUUACUGUGUUUGGUUUGUUUGGUUUUUGUAGAUUGCUCGGUCUGCUUUCAGAUACCAUCCAGGACCACCUUCCCAGCAAUGGCACUGCUCCCUUCCACAUCAGUCAUCAUCAUCCAAAAAAAAAAAAAAAAAGUCCCCCAGGCUUGCUUGCCUAUGAGCCAGUCUUACAGGGACAUUUUCUCAAUUGAGGUUCUCUCUUCUGAGAUGAGUCUCGAUCUGUGUCAAGUUGACAAAAACCAACCAGCACACAUUCCUUUCUAAUAAAUGAAAUCUCACGCUCCCAUAAUACCUGAACGUGGGUGUUCAUGGAAACUGUUUCUAAAAUGCUAUGCUGGAAACAAACCAAAUGUCCAUCCGUGGGAAAAUUGUGAAAUGAAGUGUGGCACAUCUGUGCUACAGAUUCAGGUGAUAAAAGUAUCUUUUAAAAAAAAAAAUCUAUUGAUCAAUACACAACAAUUUGGACCGGUCUCAAGAGAAUUAUGCUGAGUGAAGAGAAGCCCAGUUUCCGAAGAUGAACUCCUGAGUAAUUUCCCUUAUUUCUUAUCAUUUAAAUGACAGUCAUACAAGGGCAGACAGACCAGUGAGUGCCAAUGGUUAGGGAUGUCAGAGUCAUAGAGAGGGGAGGCAAGAAAGCAUGGCUACCAAAGGAUAGCUUGAGGACUCUGUGGGUGUGCUCCGUGCCUUUGUUGCUGAAGUGGAGACAUAAGCUUGCACAUAGGACCAGACUGUAUAUGAGCAUACACAGGUCCACACAGCACAUAAAUUGUGCAUAUAUGUAGACAUAAAGCAGUGAAAUCAAAUCAAACAGUGGGCUCUCUUAGUGUCUGUCUUCUGGGUGUAUGGGAAGAGUUAGAGGAGCUGUCAAAAAAUGUGCAGACUAUUUUUUACAGUUGCAUGUGAAUCUACAAGUCCUUCAAGUAAAUUAAUUUAAAAAGCAGGCCCUUUACUACAAAGGCUUUUUUCUAUAUGCAGAUCUCACAAAUGAUUUUUUUGGUGGAUUAUCCUAAAUAUUUACAGACUUUCUCCUAUAAACCAAAUCUUGAUAUUGUAUUUUCUUAGUGGUUAUUAUUGGCUUAGAGGAAUGCAAUUUAUUCUUAUGACUUCUUUGCCUAUUUGGCAACUUUGCCAGAUUAUCAAAUUUGUUCCAGAUUAUUUUUCAUGAGCUUUAAGUUCAUGUAACACUAAACUUUUCAUGUAAAAAAAGCAAACACAUUUCUUCUGUCCAUUCGGUUGUAGAUCGCCCUGGGAUAUUUCCUGAUGUGAAAGAAUCUGAUGGGGACUCUUCCUGGGUGUGUUCUUGCUCCUGGGAUAAACCCUAUAUAGCCAUUCUGUUUCAUUAAUGUUAAAUUACACUAUUGGGCUUAAUUAGCUAGCACUGCAUCUCUGGUUUCUGAGUGAAUGUCCACCAUGAAAUCAGUUUGUCAUUUUCUUCACUUGUAAUUUAUUUGUUCUGUUUCAGCACCAGGGUUAUUAACUCAUAAAAUGAGUUUGGAAGCUUAUUUUCAAGUUCUAUUUUCUGUAGCAUAGUGUGCCAACUCCGAGCUACAAAUUCCUUGGGAGUACAGCAGAAUUUUUUCACAUGGCACCGUAUGGGUCUGAGGCAUAUUGGGUGGAAGGAGAAUUUGACCAUUGUUUUCAUAUUUUUACCAUUGGUCAUUUUUCUUUCUUGUGUCAGAGUUGAUAUCUGAAGUUGUCUCACACAACUUCCCAAAUCAUCUAGCGUUUUAGAUUUAAGUUCUCUAUGGUUGUUUCUGAGUUUCAAUUAUCAAUGAAUGUUAAAUUAAACCUAUUCACAAAUUUAGCAAAUCAAUGCUUCACUUUUGCCUUAGCUUUCUAUCGCUGUGACAAAAAAAAGGAAGAAAAAACGACAACAGCUAAGCUUGCCCAGUCCACACGAAAAGGAAACGAGGCUUGUUUAUAGCUUAGUGUCAGAGGGUUCUCUUGAGGUCUUCUGCCCUGUUGCUUUGGGUCUUUGGCAGCACAUUGCGCUGGAGAUCACAUGUUGGAAGAGGCCUAUUCACAUCACAGGGGCUGUGAUGAAAAGAGAGAAACACACACACACACACACACACACACACACACACACACACACACACUAAAUAAGAACAAAAAUGAAUCUUAAAAAGUAAUUACAAGCUGGAGAUCAAGCCUUCAACAAGUGACCUUUGGGUGACACCCAGAUUCAUGGCAUAGCCUCUCCGUCAGAGGGAAAGGUAAGCUGGAUUUCUAACCAUCAUCUUGCAGUUUACUCUUACCAUUGACCUAGAAAUUCUUCUUGCUUUUGUACUAAUGUGUUAGGUCUCAUACACACUUCUGUGUAACUCUGCUUGUUAUCAUUACUCUCACAUUUUAGUAGAGAAAAUAAUUCUUAGAAAGGAUGUACGGCACUGCAGGAGGCAAACAGAUAUUUCGAAACUUUAAUAUCUAAAUAUAUUUUAGAUUGACUGGGUGAGUUAUACAGAAGCCUAGAUUGGAAAUAUUUUUUCUUUAGAAAAGUGAGGGAAUUGUUUCUUGCCUGGGGACAUUUUAAUGACUCACCUUUUGAAUUGUCACUUUCUGGUACAUAUUCCGGCCUUUUCCUGCAGUGCUCUAAAAUAACACAGUGGUUAAUUUUAGAUAAUCCCCUCUCUUAUAUUGUGUCAGGUGUGAAAUAGGACCUUUUAAUCUGAAGACUCAUGCUAAAAAUAGCUAACGAUCUUUAUGGUACUAUUUAAUGUCUGCUUGUGGGCAGUGUGUGUGUGUGUGUGUGUGUGUGUGUGUGUGUGUGUGUGUGUAUGUGUGUGUGUUUCAGCGUUGAACCCAAGGCCUUGCUAAGCAAGUGUUCUAUCACAGAUGUAUUUCUAACACACUAAUUAUUAUUAUUCCUUCUUUUUAUUCUGUUCUCAUAUUUUAGAGUGGUGGUGAUUUGGAUAUUGGCCCUUCCAAAUUACUUGAAAUUGAUGAAAGACUGCAGGAGACCUGAAUCCAAGCCGCUUGUACUUUGUCCAGGGAAGAAUUGAUCAUUGAUUGAAAAGCCCAUUUCAUGCUUUAUCAUGGUGUGUUGUGACAGCCGAGGACAAAGAGACAGGAGAAUGAAGUGCUAAGUCCAUGGUGGAAACCAGUGGUUAUGAAGACCCUAUUGUGUUCCAGGGAUAUCUGAUAUGUGAUCUCCCCAAGGAGUUGAGACCCACCACAGAUUGAGAACCACUAGUCUGAAUGGUUCAAGAGUAGCAGAUGCUUCAAAUAUUCAGAGUGAUAGCUCUGUUCCUAUACAUCUCCCCGAGUGGCCCAAGAUUUGGAAAGAUGUGACAUUUAUGGUAAACGUUGUUGCUGAGCAGAGAAGCCUAGGAAAGAAGACUAGGAAAACUCAUUGCGAGGUGAUACACCUAAGCCUGCAUUUGGCCAGGAGAGAACAAACGAAAACCUGGGUUUCCACACUCAAUGCACUUUCUUCCCUUCAAGUUUCUGGACAUAUUCCCCCAUUAAAUAUUUCUUGAGUUUG